UGGAUCUCAAAUCAGACAAGAGACCCGCUGAAUUUAAGCAUAU
rnacentral:rRNA from 1 species